rnacentral:rRNA from 1 species
UGAGUAACCUGCCCCAGACUCUGGAAUAAGCGCUGGAAACGGCGUCUAAUACCGGAUAUGAGAUGCAACCGCAUGGUUAGUGUCUGGAAAGUUUUUCGGUCUGGGAUGGACUCGCGGCCUAUCAGCUUGUUGGUGAGGUAAUGGCUUACCAAGGCGACGGACGGGUAGCCGGCCUGAGAGGGUGACCGGCCACACUGGGACUGAGACACGGCCCAGACCUCCCGUAACGGGGAGGCAG